AGCAGUGGGAGCCUCUUUAUGGGGUGACUGCGUACCUUUUGUAUAAUGGGUCAGCGACUUAUAUUCUGUAGCAAGGUUAACCGAAUAGGGGAGCCGAAGGGAAACCGAGUCUUAACUGGGCGUUAAGUUGCAGGGUAUAGACCCGAAACCCGGUGAUCUAGCCAUGGGCAGGUUGAAGGUUGGGUAACACUAACUGGAGGACCGAACCGACUAAUGUUGAAAAAUUAGCGGAUGACUUGUGGCUGGGGGUGAAAGGCCAAUCAAACCGGGAGAUAGCUGGUUCUCCCCGAAAGCUAUUUAGGUAGCGCCUCGUGAAUUCAUCUCCGGGGGUAGAGCACUGUUUCGGCAAGGGGGUCAUCCCGACUUACCAACCCGAUGCAAACUGCGAAUACCGGAGAAUGUUAUCACGGGAGACACACGGCGGGUGCUAACGUCCGUCGUGAAGAGGGAAACAACCCAGACCGCCAGCUAAGGUCCCAAAGUCAUGGUUAAGUGGGAAACGAUGUGGGAAGGCCCAGACAGCCAGGAUGUUGGCUUAGAAGCAGCCAUCAUUUAAAGAAAGCGUAAUAGCUCACUGGUCGAGUCGGCCUGCGCGGAAGAUGUAACGGGGCUAAACCAUGCACCGAAGCUGCGGCAGCGACACUAUGUGUUGUUGGGUAGGGGAGCGUUCUGUAAGCCUGCGAAGGUGUACUGUGAGGUAUGCUGGAGGUAUCAGAAGUGCGAAUGCUGACAUAAGUAACGAUAAAGCGGGUGAAAAGCCCGCUCGCCGGAAGACCAAGGGUUCCUGUCCAACGUUAAUCGGGGCAGGGUGAGUCGACCCCUAAGGCGAGGCCGAAAGGCGUAGUCGAUGGGAAACAGGUUAAUAUUCCUGUACUUGGUGUUACUGCGAAGGGGGGACGGAGAAGGCUAUGUUGGCCGGGCGACGGUUGUCCCGGUUUAAGCGUGUAGGCUGGUUUUCCAGGCAAAUCCGGAAAAUCAAGGCUGAGGCGUGAUGACGAGGCACUACGGUGCUGAAGCAACAAAUGCCCUGCUUCCAGGAAAAGCCUCUAAGCAUCAGGUAACAUCAAAUCGUACCCCAAACCGACACAGGUGGUCAGGUAGAGAAUACCAAGGCGCUUGAGAGAACUCGGGUGAAGGAACUAGGCAAAAUGGUGCCGUAACU
rnacentral:rRNA from 1 species